rnacentral:tRNA from 1 species
ACUUGGGUGGCUCAGUCGGUUGAGUGUCCGACUUCAGCUCAGAUCAUGAUCUCAUGGUUCGUGGGUUCGAGCCCCACAUCGGGUU